AAAACAUACGGUUAUCAGCGUGAAAAACUUCUCCCUCGUGACGACGAGGCCAACUUUAUCUCAUCAUUCACCCCAAACACUCCUCAGCAACUUUCAGAAAGCGCUGAGCAGAACUUUCACAGCGUUCAUCUGGAGAAGGAUUUCACAAGCGAUUGUAUCAAAAAACGUUAUAUUGGCCAAUGCAGCAGACGCCAGUAAACAGACCUCUCCAUUGGAAGCCUCUUCACACAACCCUACACGGAAAAUGAGGAAUAUAUAAGAAAAAGCAUGAAGGUGCUGAGAUGUUGGGUGAAGGUGAAAUGAGGAGACGUGAUUUGCGCGAUCACAGCCGCCACUUCCGCUUUUGUGGCCUCGUUCUGAGUCUCAUCGGUGAGAAUUUCUGUUAAGCAGAGGAG